rnacentral:rRNA from 1 species
UACGUAGGGGGCAAGCGUUGUCCGGAUUUAUUGGGCGUAAAGAGCGUGUAGGCGGCCAGACAGGUCCGUUGUGAAAACUCGAGGCUCAACCUCGAGAUGUCGAUGGAAACCGUCUGGCUAGAGUCCGGAAGAGGAGUGUGGAAUUCCUGGUGUAGCGGUGAAAUGCGCAGAUAUCAGGAAGAACACCUAUGGCGAAGGCAGCACUCUGGGACGG